UUUUUAAAGUCUUUUGAGGUGCAUCA
rnacentral:piRNA from 1 species